UGAUGCAGUUAUGUGCAAAAUUGAAAUGUGCUUUUGCCUAUAUUGCUUUUUGCCGUGUUAUAUCUUUAUUCAGUCGCUUCACUUGUUCCGCCAAUGUGCGGCGCUCUGGCACUUAUCACUACGGCUGCCAUUCUGCUCGUCUGCUCCUGCCGCUCUCUAUGCAAGUGCACGUUUUUUCACACGCACUGCGGUUCAAAACGUUCUUUGUGUGCCAGCGAACGUCCCGGCAAUGACCGAAAAGACUAAGGAAAGCACACAAGGCGUGUUGCGCGGCUUUAUGAUGUGGCGUCUCAAGGAGGACCAGCAUGGCGAAAUUUUUCUGUUUCCCAACGGACGAGAGAUGUGACAUAUGGUGAAAUUACGCUAAAUGGGAAGUCCGGGAGGGGUUGAAAUGGGAGCAGAUGUAUAAGGGCUACGGCCUCUGCUCGGACGACUUCACAGGAAGAGACUAUACGCCCACCCUAUCUGUUAUGGUCAGCUGUACCGACUGUUGUAGUGGAAGAGCGGCCCCUGAUCAAUGAAGCCAGACCAAAAGUGGAAAAUGUACCAACCAGAGACCGCAGGCGUCAUCAGCUGCCUGAGCAACGGUACACAAAGGUAUCGCAAGUCGGCGAAAUUAAAGAACUAAAUUAAAUUUCCAGAGAGCAAGCAUGAGAGAAGUUGGUGCAUCAUAAGAGCCUAGAGUUCUACCAACUCUUGAUAAGCCAGGUGGCAUCGCAUUAUCACAACAGGAUGGCAAGGACAGGGAGAAAUGAUUUUUGGACCACGGUGACCCUGUCGCGCACUUGUUGGAGGUGACCACAGUACUGAAA